rnacentral:rRNA from 1 species
AGUGAACGCUGGCGGUAGGCCUAACACAUGCAAGUCGAACGGCAGCACAGUAAGAGCUUGCUCUUACGGGUGGCGAGUGGUGGACGGGUGAGGAAUACAUCGGAAUCUACUUUUUCGUGGGGGAUAACGUAGGGAAACUUACGCUAAUACCGCAUACGACCUACGGGUGAAAGCAGGGGAUCUUCGGACCUUGCGCGAUUGAAUGAGCCGAUGUCGGAUUAGCUAGUUGGCGGGGUAAAGGCCCACCAAGGCGACGAUCCGUAGCUGGUCUGAGAGGAUGAUCAGCCACACUGGAACUGAGACACGGUCCAGACUCCUACGGGAGGCAGCAGUGGGGAACAUUGGACAAUGGGCGCAAGCCUGAUCCAGCCAUACCGCGUGGGUGAAGAAGGCCUUCGGGUUGUAAAGCCCUUUUGUUGGGAAAGAAAAGCAGCAGGUUAAUACCCCGCUGUUCUGACGGUACCCAAAGAAUAAGCACCGGCUAACUUCGUG